rnacentral:rRNA from 1 species
CGUAUCACCCAAGACAACUUUACGGAGUUGACGAUUGACGGAGCGAAGCGACGUCAAAGCGUUCAUUAAAGUCGAGUUGGCUUAGGGAUACGUUCGUUGGGUAGGGGAGCGUUCUGUAAGCCUGUGAAGGUGUGUCGUGAGGCAUGCUGGAGGUAUCAGAAGUGCGAAUGCUGACAUAAGUAACGAUAAAGCGGGUGAAAAGCCCGCUCGCCGGAAGACCAAGGGUUCCUGUCCAACGUUAAUCGGGGCAGGGUGAGUCGACCCCUAAGGCGAGGCCGAAAGGCGUAGUCGAUGGGAAACGGGUUAAUAUUCCCGUACUUGGUGUUACUGCGAAGGGGGGACGGAGAAGGCUAUGUUGGCCGGGCGACGGUUGUCCCGGUUUAAGCGUGUAGGUGUGUGUUCCAGGUAAAUCCGGUUCACUUUAACACUGAGGCGUGAUGACGAGGCACUACGGUGCUGAAGCAACAAAUGCCCUGCUUCCAGGAAAAGCCUCUAAGCAUCAGGUAACAUCAAAUCGUACCCCA